rnacentral:rRNA from 1 species
GGCAGAGGGUGCGAACGUUGCUCGGAAUCAUUGGGCGUAAAGCGCGCGUAGGCGGUUGCUUAAGUCGGAUGUGAAAGCCCUCGGCUUAACUGAGGAAGUGCAUCCGAAACUGAGCAGCUAGAGUACGAAAGAGGGUCGCGGAAUUCCCGGUGUAGAGGUGAAAUUCGUAGAUAUCGGGAGGAACACCGGUGGCGAAGGCGGCGACCUGGGUCGAGACUGACGCUGAGGCGCGAAAGCGUGGGGAGCAAACAGG